GGGAGGUUGGACUGAGUGGUUAAGGCGGCAACUUUACACGUUGUUUUUCAGGGGUUCGAUUCCUCUACUUCCUA
rnacentral:tRNA from 1 species